CUGAGUGAGCGGAGUCAGAGGGGCACAGUGCUCCAUCCUAACUCGCGUGUACAAAUCCAGGGGCAUAGAAACAGUCGGAGGUGGAAGACAAUGGCCUGGUGAGGUGAAGUCGCGUUAGGCGAACAAACAGAUGGUUAGAGUAGCCAUGCUUAGAAUCUGAGGAGUGCCCGAGUGGGUGGGGUCAGAGGGACAAUGGUGCGGGUGGAGUCGGAGGGGCUGGACACAGCUAGGAGCUAGA
rnacentral:lncRNA from 1 species